CGGCAGGCCUAACACAUGCAAGUCGAACGCCCUAGCAAUAGGGAGUGGCAGACGGGUGAGUAACACGUGGGAACCUUCCCUAUAGUACGGAAUAGCUCAGGGAAACUUGAAGUAAUACCGUAUACGCCCGAGAGGGGAAAGAUUUAUCGCUAUAGGAUGGGCCCGCGUCGGAUUAGCUAGUUGGUGAGGUAAUGGCUCACCAAGGCGACGAUCCGUAGCUGGUUUGAGAGAACGACCAGCCACACUGGGACUGAGACACGGCCCAGACUCCUACGGGAGGCAGCAGUGGGGAAUAUUGGACAAUGGGCGCAAGCCUGAUCCAGCCAUGCCGCGUGAGUGAUGAAGGCCUUAGGGUUGUAAAGCUCUUUUAGCAGGGAAGAUAAUGACUGUACCUGCAGAAUAAGCUCCGGCUAACUUCGUG
rnacentral:rRNA from 1 species